rnacentral:rRNA from 1 species
GACAGAGGAGGCUAGCGUUGUUCGGAAUUACUGGGCUUAAAGCGCGUGUAGGCGGCUCGGUCAGUGCCUUGUGAAAUCCCACGGCUUAACCGUGGAACGGCUGGGCAUACUGCCGGGCUUGAGGCAGGUAGGGGUCACUGGAACUCUAGGUGGAGCGGUGAAAUGCGUAGAUAUCUAGAGGAACGCCCGAGGCGAAAGCGGGUGACUGGGCCUGUCCUGACGCUGAGACGCGAAAGCGUGGGGAGCAAACGGG